AUGAGGCCCUCUAUCAGGAAGAGGGAAAUGAAUACAUCAACAGGUGCCUUUCAAUCAGACAGGAUCUUUUAACACACAAAGGCGAGUGGCACCAAUAUGAUGAUAUGAUCCAUCCCAAGAUGAGCAGUUUGUGUUUUUGGCAGUCUACCAAAGGAACCGUACUGAAAGGGAGAGAAGAAGCUGGCAAGGAAAUGCUAAAAAUAAUCUUUGAUCUUCUAACCACCUGGAAUGAACAAAAUGUGGAAAACUUCUUUUUCCUGCUACGCCUGUUCUGUUAUGCAUACAGCCAACCUUUACUUCAUGAUGGCAUGAAAAGACCGUGGGGAUUGCCAUAUGGUAAAGAACAGGUGAAAACUCUGCUAAAGUGUUUCCUGGAGGAAAACAUCAAUCCGGAGCCAAGCAGUUGGAAAGGAA